GAAGGUCGCUGAAUUGGCCCAUAAUUGCUCAAUUCUUCUUCCCGCUAUCGUCUAGCUUCAGGUCGGCGGCCAUGGCGAUCCAAGUUAUUGAGUUUUUACAUUUGAAAAUUGCAUUGAAUGAGUUUGUUUUAGAGUUUUGAAAUUCGGAUCCAACAAACUCACAUUAGUUAGUAGUAUUAGUAGAGCGAGUGAGUGGACGGAGAAACGAAGAGGUUAGGGUUUGGAGUCAGAGCAUGAGAAGUUUCGAGGAGGAAGUUGGGAACAGUUGCUUGUAAAAAGAAGCUCCAGAAGGUUGCACAUUAAUUAGUAGUUUUAGUAGAGCGAUCGAGUGAGUGGAUGAGAAAAGAGGUUAGGGUUUGGUGUCAGAGAGAGGGAAAUUUUGAGGACGGAGGACUGAGGAGCAAGUUGGACACAGUUGCUCCUUUUUCUUCCUGCCUGUCUCGAGAUCGAUCUUCUCUAGCCAUGGCGGUUGACGAAGAAUUGGCAACCGUGCGGUUAGAGAAAGAGAGAGAAGGGAGCCAUCUCGUCUCCGUCGUCGCCUCGUCGUCGCAUUUCAGAAUCCAUAUAUACGUACUCUAAGACUCUAGUGUUCAACUCUUUGUUGCAGUGUCAUGGGAUUUUAUGUUUGGUCGUUUUUGUCUUCUUUAUUUGCAAAUUGUGGGAGGCAGAAUGAGGAAGACACAAUCCUGGAAGGCUAGACUGUUGCAUUGCGUUCGCUGUGUUGAGCUUGGAGCCGAAAUUCAGUACUCCUCCAUGGGGUUGGAAGGAUGUAUUUCAGGCAGGCCCAAAUAAUACAAAUACGAAAAUAUGGAAGAUGAAGUUUCACCGGCCCGAUAUAGAAUGAAGGGCGCCCCAUAAUCGCUCAAUUCUCUGCCCGCGCUCGUCUAGCUUCAGGUCGGCUGCUAGGGCGAUCCGAAUUUUUAAAUUAGGAAUUUGGGCAUGUUUGUUAGAGCUUUUGCAUUAGUUAGUAGAGCAAGCUAGUGAAUGAGAGAGACGAAGAGAGGUUAGGGUUUGGGGUCAGAGCAAGGGAAGUUUCUAGGAUGAAGUUGGAAACAGUUGCUCGUAACAAACUCCAACGCACGCACAUUAGUUAGUAGUAUUGGUAGAUCGAGUGAGUGAAUGAGAGAGACGAAGAAGAGAGGUUAGGGUUUGGGGUCAGAGAUUUGUGGAGGAAGUUGGAAUGAAAACAGUUACUCUUUUUUCUUCCUGCCUGUCUUGAGAUCGAUUUUCUCUAGCCAUGGCGGUUGAAGAAGAAUUGCUGGUAAAACCUCCAUCGUUUCUGGCAACCACGCGGCGAGAGAAAGAGAUAGAGGGGAACCAUCUCGUCUCCGUCGUCGCCUGGUCUUCGCAUUUCAGCAUCCAUGUAUACGUACUCGAAGACUCUAGGGGUAUUUUUAUGAAUGGGGAAGGACACAAUCCUGGAAGGCGAGAAUGUUGCAUUGCUUUUACGCUGUGCUGAGCUUGGAGCCGAAAUUCAGUACUCCUCCAUUGCGUUGGAUGGAUGUGUUUCAGGACGGGAGUAUAAUUAUUAUCCUAUGGAGAGUUCCUUAUUCAUCGUUAGAUUUUCCCAAUCUCAGUUCUCGAUUACUUAACCUGCCCGGGGAAGAAGUGAUUACUGGACCCAGGUCAUCCUUACUACAUAUCGAGCCCAUAUUCAUGAUAACAACAUCUCUUUGUCCUUCACCCAAAACCCACUUUAUGUUGGGCUAGACCAAUCAACCAACCAAGCGAAACACUAACAAGCCCAAAAGUCCACGUAACGCACAAGGUUGAUCACGCUCAAGUGCUAGUCGUACAUCCUCAAGUCCCAAAAACAUAAAUCAGGCCCAAGUCACCAUUACCCAGAUUUGCAGCCACUUUACUAGCCCAUAUAUUUUCAACGCGGGCCCGCAUAUUGGCCCAGAAGUAUAUUUUGAGCAAAGGUUGUCGCCCCAAGAUUGUGUGCAAACCCAAGCCUGAUGUAAUGCCCUAAAUUUCGGCCCAAUUCCAACGGGUCCUUGUUGUGCGGCCCAUUUAGCAUACCAUGGCCCAAUAAUUUGUUCGAAAUGGGCUCAUUGGUUGACGGCAAGGUCAAUUAUUCGGCCCGUGCAAGGCUCGUAAAAGGCCCAUUUAGCAAUCCAUGACCCAAUAAUGUUGGCUCUAAAUGGGCCCAUAUGUUGAGUGCAUUGUUAAUUAUUCGGCCCACGUACGGCCAUUCAACAUCCUAUCGCCCAAUAUUGUUGGCUGUAAAUGGGCCCGUUUGUUGAUUGCAUGGUCAACAAGUCGGUCCAUGUAUGGCCCAUUUAGCAUUCCGUGGCCCAAUAACGUUUGCACUAAAUGGGCCCAUUUGUUGAGUGCGUAGUUAAUCAUUCGGCCCAUUAAUCAUCCCAUGGCCCGAUAACACUAACUUGGCCCCUGAGUUGAUUGCAAAGUCAAUUGAUAGGCCCAUAUAUGGCCCAUUUAGCAUCCGUGGCCCGAUAAUAUUCGCUUUAAACUGGCACGUUUGGCAUCCCGUGGCCCGAUGAUAUUCGAACUAAAUGGGCCGAUUUGUUAAGCGCGUGUUCAAUCAUUCAGCCCACUGUUGUUCCCUUCCCCACCCCCUCAAAUUUUGUCAACCUAUGCCCAC